UACGGAAGGCAGCAGUGGGGAAUCUUGCGCAAUGGGCGAAAGCCUGACGCAGCCAUGCCGCGUGAAUGAUGAAGGUCUUAGGAUUGUAAAAUUCUUUCACCGGGGACGAUAAUGACGGUACCCGGAGAAGAAGCCCCGGCUAACUUCGUGCCAGCAGCCGCGGUAAUACGAAGGGGGCUAGCGUUGCUCGGAAUUACUGGGCGUAAAGGGAGCGUAGGCGGACAUUUAAGUCAGGGGUGAAAUCCCGGGGCUCAACCUCGGAAUUGCCUUUGAUACUGGGUGUCUUGAGUAUGAGAGAGGUGUGUGGAACUCCGAGUGUAGAGGUGAAAUUCGUAGAUAUUCGGAAGAACACCAGUGGCGAAGGCGACACACUGGCUCAUUACUGACGCUGAGGCUCGAAAGCGUGGGGAGCAAACAGGGAUUAGAUACC
rnacentral:rRNA from 1 species